rnacentral:rRNA from 1 species
GUCUACGGCCAUGCCACCCUAAACACGCCCAAUCCCGUCUGAUCUUGGAAGCUAAGCAGGGUCAGGCCUGGUUAGUACUUGGAUGGGAAGACCACUUGGAAAGACCAGGUGCUGUAGGCA